AUGAUGCCUUCCUCCUCCUCCUCCCGCCGCCGUCGUCGCCGCCGCGGCAACCGCAACAGGCCUCCUCCUCCUCCAGCGCCGAUAACGGGGGCGGGGGACGUCACGCGUGACGAGGCGGAGCUUCCGCCGUCGGCCGUUGCCCACAGGCUGGAAUGCAUCCCAUUCUCACGCGCCGCCCCACCAAAACCUAACCCUCCAGAGCCUCAACCCCAACCCCAUGGCGCGACGCACCACUCCUCCUCCACCUCCUCCUCUCGCCGCCGUCGCGGACGACGCGGACGCAAGGGGACAGUACCAGCGCCAGCGCCUGCGGCGGAGGAGGCGAGGGACUGGGCGGGGCUCCUGCUGGACGUGCUCUGCGCCAUCCUCCACAAGCUCGACCACGUCGAGAUCCUGACCGGCGCGGGGCAGGUGUGCCGCUCCUGGCGCCGCGCCGCGCGCGACGUGCCCGCGCUCUGGCGCCGCAUCGACAUGCGCGGCCACGCGGACAUCCCCGAGCUCUACCUCUGCGGGAUGUCUCAGGUCGCCGUCCGCCGCAGCGCCGGGCAGUGCGAGGCGUUCUGGGGCGAGUACGCCGCCCAUGACGAUCUGAUCCUCUUCCUCGGCGACCAGGCACCAUCUCUGAAGAGUCUUCGCCUCAUCUCUUGCCACCGUGUCUUGAUUGAAGAAUUGGUGGAGGCAAUGAACAAGUUCCCUCUACUAGAGGAGCUCGAGCUCUCACUGUGUUCAAAUAUAGGUGGGAAUCAUAUGUUUCAGGUCAGCAAAGCAUGCCCGCAGCUAAGGCACUUCAGAAAGAGUGAGCUUCGGUUCUACAAUCUCCAAGACGACAGUGAUGGCGAAGACGCUGAUAGCGAGUUCAGGUACAACAAGAACGAUGGCGCCAAAGGAAUCGCAACCAUGCUCCAGCUACGCUCCCUGCAGCUCUUUGCCAACAACCUCACCAACGAAGGGCUGACAGCGAUCCUCGACAACUGCGUGCACCUCGAGUCCCUCGACAUCCGCCACUGCUUCAACAUCGUCAUGGACGAUGCCCUGCGGGCGAAGUGCUCCAGGAUCAAGACGCUGAGGCUUCCCCACGACUCGACAGAUGACUACGACAUUGAGGCUUUGAGCCCUAUCUGGCCAGGUCUUGGUAUCGGCGUUGGCUCCGACAGUGAUGAUGACUGCUGGUAUGGUGGGCCUGACUACAUUCUGGACUCGGAUGAGUACGACGAUUACUGCGAUCCUGAGCGCUACCUUGAUGGUGUCUACAUCGGCAGGCGUGUUACUCUAAUGGAUCUGCUCGAUUCGGGGUACUGA
rnacentral:rRNA from 1 species